ACAAGCCAUCCUCUACUUAAGCUAGGACUGCCCAAGGUGAGCUCCUUACUUCUCGGUAGCUCAUGAAUAACAUCCAAGUCCAUAUGG
rnacentral:lncRNA from 1 species